GACGAACGCUGGCGGCGUGCCUAAUACAUGCAAGUCGAACGAGAGCGACCGGUGCUUGCACUGGUCAAUCUAGUGGCGAACGGGUGAGUAACACGUGGGUAACCUGCCCAUCAGAGGGGGAUAACAUCCGGAAACGGAUGCUAAAACCGCAUAGGUCUUCGAACCGCAUGGUUUGAAGAGGAAAAGAGGCGCAAGCUUCUGCUGAUGGAUGGACCCGCGGUGCAUUAGCUAGUUGGUGAGGUAACGGCUCACCAAGGCCGUGAUGCAUAGCCGACCUGAGAGGGUGAUCGGCCACAUUGGGACUGAGACACGGCCCAAACUCCUACGGGAGGCAGCAGUAGGGAAUCUUCCGCAAUGGCCGCAAGUCUGACGGAGCAACGCCGCGUGAGUGAAGAAGGUUUUCGGAUCGUAAAACUCUGUUGUUAGAGAAGAACAAGUGCUAGAGUAACUGUUAGCGCCUUGACGGUAUCUAACCAGAAAGCCACGGCUAACUACGUG
rnacentral:rRNA from 1 species